UGGUGGAUUGAUUUGUCUGGUUUAUUCCGAUAACGAGCGAGACCUCAGCUUUUAACUAGUAGGUAUAAUCCUCGGAUUGUAUCCUGCUUCUUAGAAGGACAGUCGGUGUUUAGCCGAAGGAAGUUUGAGGCAAUAACA
rnacentral:rRNA from 1 species